CCUACGGGGGGCAGCAGUGGGGAAUAUUGGACAAUGGGGGGAACCCUGAUCCAGCCAUGCCGCGUGUGUGAAGAAGGCCCUCGGGUUGUAAAGCACUUUCAGUGAGGAAGAACGCCUGGUGGUUAAUACCCAUCAGGAAAGACAUCACUCACAGAAGAAGCACCGGCUAACUCCGUGCCAGCAGCCGCGGUAAUACGGAGGGUGCGAGCGUUAAUCGGAAUUACUGGGCGUAAAGCGCGCGUAGGUGGCUUGAUAAGCCGGUUGUGAAAGCCCCGGGCUCAACCUGGGAACGGCAUCCGGAACUGUCAAGCUAGAGUGCAGGAGAGGAAGGUAGAAUUCCCGGUGUAGCGGUGAAAUGCGUAGAGCUCGGGAGGAAUACCAGUGGCGAAGGCGGCCUUCUGGACUGACACUGACACUGAGGUGCGAAAGCGUGGGUAGCAAACAGGAUUAGCUACCCUUGUAGUC
rnacentral:rRNA from 1 species